rnacentral:lncRNA from 1 species
CCUCCCCAGUAGCUGGGACUACAGGAGCCCGCCACCUCGCCCGGCUAAUUUUUUGUAUUUUUAGUAGAGACGGGGUUUCACCGUGUUAGCCAGGAUGGUCUUGAUCUCCUGACCUCGUGAUCCGCGCGCCUCGGUCUCCCAAAAUGCUGGGAUUACAGGCGUGUGCCACCGCGCCUGGCCUCAUCUCUUAAUUCGAGUAAUUUUACAUAAGCAACAAUGGGGUAAGGAGGAGAAAAGAAAGAAGGAAAAAUUGGAAAGAUAAAUGGGGUCUUUCCAGUGAAGCCUCCAGGCCUCCAGACUGGAACUUAUACCACUGAUUCUUCUGAAUCUUAGGCCUUUGGACUUGGACUGGAACUAAACCAUCAGCUCUUCUUGUUCUACCACUUGCAGACUGUAUGUCUUGGGACAUGUCAGCCUCUGUAAUCACCUGCAGUUAUGGCAUUAACCACCCAGUUGUUACCUACUUCUAGAUGAAAGCUCAAUUUUCCUACAUAAUUAAGAGUUUGGAAUUCGGGCAAUAUCAAGAACCACAUCUGUCCUGAAAUCAAUUAUCUCUGUUUGGAAUAUGGAUAUGAGAGAUCACUUUGCUGUGCUGUAAAUGAUCGAUUAAAAUACAUAUUUCU